AUGCCGAUCCCUUGCUUCGCGCGCGAGUUUCCCGAUAGGGUUUUUUUUUGCGGAGUUUGUGUCUUUUUACCUUUGGGUUCGAUGUUUUUGUUCGAUUAAUCGUUUUAUAGGGAAUAAAAAAAAGCCCAUAACAAUAGGAACGGGAAAAAAAAAACCCAAAAAAUUAAAAACCCACGCGCGAGUUUGACUCGAAAGUAUGGGGUGUGACAACUUUCUUUAUUGACACGACACAGCAAUGUUGGGUCAUGUAUGUUGACAUAUUGAUUCUUGAAUGUGGAGGGAACCCUUAUGAUGCAGUGUCAUUGGCUGAGAAAUCGGCUCUUUUUUUGCAACACAAAUUCCAUCUAUUAAAAUAGCAACCAUGGACGGAUAUCAACCUGAUGUGGAGCUCUCAGAUGAUCCUUAUGAUACCAAGAGACUAAACACAGAGAACUUUCCUUGUGUACUGACUUUGAUGAAGAUUGGAAACCAUUUCCUAGUAGUUCCAACACCAAAAGAAAAAUGCUGCAGCUUUUCUGGUAUUAAAAUGAUUACUGCUGUUAGGAAAAUUGACAGUUGUAAGACAUCAGCUAUGAUAUUCUUAAAGAUGGAACUUUUAGAGAAAUAACAUUUAAGCGAUGAUAUAAA
rnacentral:lncRNA from 1 species